rnacentral:rRNA from 1 species
GAUGAACGCUGGCGGCGUGCCUAAUACAUGCAAGUCGAGCGAACAGACGAGGAGCUUGCUCCUCUGACGUUAGCGGCGGACGGGUGAGUAAAACGUGGAUAACCUACCUAUAAGACUGGGAUAAAUUCGGGAAACCGGAGCUAAUACCGGAUAAUAUAUUGAACCGCAUGGUUCAAUAGUGAAAGACGGUUUUGCUGUCACUUAUAGCUGGAUCCGCGCCGCAUUAGCUAGUUGGUAAGGUAACGGCUUACCAAGGCAACGAUGCGUAGCCGACCUGAGAGGGUGAUCAGCCACACUGGAACUGAGACACGGUCCAGACUCCUACGGGAGGCAGCAGUAGGGAAUCUUCCGCAAUGGGCGAAAGCUUGACGGAGCAACGCCGCGUGUGUGAUGAAGGUCUUCGGAUCGUAAAACUCUGUUAUUAGGGAAGAACAAAUGUGUAAGUAACUAUGCACGUCUUGACGGUACCUAAUCAGAAAGCCACGGCUAACUCCGUG